AUAGACCACAAGACCAUGGUCGUCUGAAUGAGAAGUCGACAAAGAAGAUUGGGUCCAGUUCAACCAAUCACCGACUAGCCCUUUGUUCACUCAAUAUUUUAUAUUCGAAGAUGGUGUCACUGUUUACAAUAUUUCUAAUUCUCAAACAAAUCGGUAAGUUAUCUAACUUUACCAAGGACUUCACUGGGACUAAAUGUCUGAGUGUGAAGAGAGGAGUUGACAGCUUUAACCUGACCAUCUCUAAGGCACAGUUAGGGGACAGAGCUACAUACUAAUGUGUUGCUAUUGAAGUGGGCAAAGUCACAUUUGGAGGAGCUGUUUCGAUUGUCAAAGAUUCCAACAGCAUGUCUUGUUGUACAGCAGCCUUUGUCUGAGUCAGUCCAGCCAGGAAACUCUGUGACUUUGAACUGUACAAUACACACUGAGACCUGUGCAGGAGAACACAGUGUCUAUUGGUUCAGACAUGGAUCAGGAGAAUCCCGUCCAGGAGUCAUUUACAGAAUAUCCCCACUAGGAACCUUCGCCUCUCUGAUGCUUGGAUUUGCUGUGCCCUCUUGGGGAGAUACUGUUUAGGAAUGGGACCAAGUGGGGCAUUGAAGGAUCCGUCUCUCUGACACCAUGUCCAGCAGUCUCUUCUAGAGAUGCAGAGGACCCAGAUGGAGGGUCUCCAUUACGUAGCUCUGAAUCUGAGCAACAAGAAGAACAGGUCUAGAAGAUAGAGAGGUCACAUGGAGACAGUGGUGUAUGCUGGGAUCAGACAGUAGAACUGGAUGAAUGAAACAGUCCAAUGAAUUAUCUUUUUUAUCAACUCCCACUUUAUUAACAUUAUUAUCUGUAUUACUGUGACAUAUAAUUACUGUAGCUACUUGAAUUAAGUGCAUUGCUUCUCUGCCAAACUCAUUUUAAAUGGACUUGCUUGUGAUAAGAUGAAUAAAGCAUUUUACAACAGUAAAGACAAA